rnacentral:rRNA from 1 species
GACGGAGGGUGCUAGCGUUGUUCGGAUUUACUGGGCGUAAAGGGCGCGUAGGCGGCCCUGUCAGUCGGGUGUGAAAGCCCGGGGCUCAACCCCGGAACGGCACCCGAGACGGCAGGGCUGGAGACCGGGAGAGGAGGGUGGAAUAGCCAGUGUAGAGGUGAAAUUCGUAGAUAUUAGCAGGAACACCGGUGGCGAAGGCGGCUAUCUGGACGACAACUGACGCUGAGGCGCGAAAGUGUGGGGAUCAAACAGG